rnacentral:rRNA from 1 species
ACGUAGGGUGCGAGCGUUAAUCGGAAUUACUGGGCGUAAAGCGUGCGCAGGCGGUUCGCUAAGUCUGAUGUGAAAGCCCCGGGCUCAACCUGGGAACUGCAUUGGAAACUGGCGAGCUUGAGUGUGGCAGAGGGGGGUGGAAUUCCACGUGUAGCAGUGAAAUGCGUAGAGAUGUGGAGGAACACCGAUGGCGAAGGCAGCCCCCUGGGCUAACACUGACGCUCAGGCACGAAAGCGUGGGGAGCAAACAGGAUUAGAUACCCUGGUAGUCCACGCCCUAAACUAUGUCAACUGGGUGUUGGGGAAGCGAUUCCUCAGUACCGUAGCUAACGCGUGAAGUUGACCGCCUGGGGAGUACGGCCGCAAGGUUA